UNGGAGAGGAAAGUGGAAUUCCUAGUGUAGCGGUGAAAUGCGUAGAUAUUAGGAAGANCACCAGUGGCGAAGGCGACUUUCUGGACGAAAACUGACGCUGAGGCGCGAAAGCCAGGGGAGCGAACGGGAUUAGAUACCCCGGUAGUCCUGGCCAUAAACGAUGGGUACUAGGUGUAGGAGGUAUCGACCCCUUCUGUGCCGGAGUUAACGCAAUAAGUACCCCGCCUGGGGAGUACGACCGCAAGGUUGAAACUCAAAGGAAUUGACGGGGGCCCGCACAAGCGGUGGAGUAUGUGGUUUAAUUCGACGCAACGCGAAGAACCUUACCAGGUCUUGACAUUGAUGGACAGAACUAGAGAUAGUUCCUCUUCUUCGGAAGCCAGAAAACAGGUGGUGCACGGUUGUCGUCAGCUCGUGUCGUGAGAUGUUGGGUNNNNNNNNNCNACGAGCGCAACCCCUAUCUUAUGUUGCCAGCACGUAAUGGUGGGAACUCAUGAGAGACUGCCGCAGACAAUGCGGAGGAAGGCGGGGAUGACGUCAAAUCAUCAUGCCCCUUAUGACCUGGGCUACAUACGUACUACAAUGGGAGUUAAUAGACGGAAGCGAGAUCGCGAGAUGGAGCAAACCCGAGAAACACUCUCUCAGUUCGGAUCGUAGGCUGCAACUCGCCUACGUGAAGUCGGAAUCGCUAGUAAUCGCAGGUCAGCAUACUGCGGUGAAUACGUUCCCGGGCCU
rnacentral:rRNA from 1 species